GACGAACGCUGGCGGCGUGCUUAACACAUGCAAGUCGAACGGAAAGGCCCUGCUUUUGUGGGGUGCUCGAGUGGCGAACGGGUGAGUAACACGUGAGUAACCUGCCCUUGACUUUGGGAUAACUUCAGGAAACUGGGGCUAAUACCGGAUAGGAGCUCCUGCUGCAUGGUGGGGGUUGGAAAGUUUCGGCGGUUGGGGAUGGACUCGCGGCUUAUCAGCUUGUUGGUGGGGUAGUGGCUUACGAAGGCUUUGAAGGGUAGCCGGCCUGAGAGGGUGACCGGCCACAUUGGGACUGCGAUACGGCCCAGAAGCCUACGGGAGGCAGCAGUGGGGAAUAUUGCACAAUGGGCGGAAGCCUGAUGCAGCAACGCCGCGUGCGGGAUGACGGCCUUCGGGUUGUAAACCGCUUUCGCCUGUGACGAAGCGUGAGUGACGGUAAUGGGUAAAGAAGCACCGGCUAACUACGUG
rnacentral:rRNA from 1 species